AACAGUUGCAUAAUAUAAUCGACGACUACAACAAAAACAGUCUACUGCAGGAAAGCCAAGUUUUUGUUUACAAUCACCAAAAAUGGUUGCUAAAGUGAAAAUAGUUGCGUCUCUAUUGCUUAUGGGUAUCAUGAUAGCUGAUCUUAACACUGCUGCUGAUGAAUCUGGAAACAUUUUUCUGGACAGCGAAUCAGCCAAAUCAUUUCACCGCGACAAAAGAUAUGUGAAUAUUCAUGCUGAAUUAAGAAGGGAAAGUGAUGAAGCUAACAGAAGAACUGCUGCACUUUGUAGGAAUUAUGGGAAAAGACACUGCCCUUCUAGAUAUGGUGGUCGAUGCUGUUAAAAUGUGUGACUAACCGAAUAAAUAUAUAAAGCGACAUGGCAAGAUACCAUAAGGUUUAAAUUUAACCUAAGUCUUAAAUAAAACAUAUGAGUUUC